rnacentral:rRNA from 1 species
ACUCCUACGGGAGGCAGCAGUGGGGAAUUUUGGACAAUGGGGGCAACCCUGAUCCAGCAAUGCCGCGUGUGCGAAGAAGGCCUUCGGGUUGUAAAGCACUUUUGUCAGGGAAGAAAUCUUUCGGGCUAAUACCCCUGGAAGGAUGACGGUACCUGAAGAAUAAGCACCGGCUAACUACGUGCCAGCAGCCGCGGUAAUAC